UAAAGGCGAAGAAGGAAAGACAACACAAGGAGGGAAAUAUGAAAACACAAAUGUUGAAAAUCAUUACACAGGGAACAUAUUCUAAGCAAUCAUAUAAACAAAGGAGAACAUACAGCGCAAAUUAUAAUGGACAACACAACAGACAAUAUUAACUACAAACCAGAACCUACAAACCUAAAAAAAAUCGCAAUUACAUAUACAGAAAAGGGCAACACAUUCUCUGAAUUGUUUGACUUUGUACAGCAUAACAUAUGGUAUACCCGACAAUAAACUGUAUUGAAUACUGUGGUUCUCUUGAAAGUAAGUAUAACAGUGUAUAGUAAAACCUGUCGUAGAAUAUGAAGUUAGUGUAUUAUGAAACCGAGUAAAUGGUUUAGCUAAAUAAAUAACAAGAAUCUGUCCAUAGUACACAGAUGCCCCACUCGCACUAUCCUUUUCUAUGUUCAGUGGACCGUAAAACUGGGGUCAAAACUCUAAUUUGACAUUAAAAUUAGAAAGAUAAUAUCAUAUGGAACAUGUGUACUUAGUUUCAAAUUGAUUGGACUAAAACUUCAUCAAAAACUACCUUGACCAAAAACUUUAACCUGAAGCGACAUAGACGAACGGACGGACGAACGAAAGGAAGGACGAAUGAAAGAACGAAUGGACACACAGACCGAAAAACAUAAUGCCCCUAGGUGGAGCAUAUAGGUUAAAAGAAAGUAAAUAAAGAUGACUGGCGCCACCUAGAUUUUACAUCCAAGAUAAUAGGUAGAAGUAAAUGUAUUUUCUGCUGCCCUGGUAAUUAGAAAUACAAAUUGAAAUAGUGCGAAAUGGGUGUAGGCCAUUGGUGUAGAAAUAGCGAGAAAUUUAGAGAAAACUCUCUUUGACAAGCAACAUUUUCUGUGCCAAAUUAAGCAAGGGGUGUUCUUCAUUCA
rnacentral:lncRNA from 1 species